UACGGAGGGAGCUAGCGUUGUUCGGAAUUACUGGGCGUAAAGCGUGCGUAGGCGGUUAUUCAAGUCAGAGGUGAAAGCCCGGGGCUCAACCCCGGAACUGCCUUUGAAACUAGAUAGCUAGAAUCUUGGAGAGGUCAGUGGAAUUCCGAGUGUAGAGGUGAAAUUCGUAGAUAUUCGGAAGAACACCCAGUGGCGAAGGCGACUGACUGGACAAGUAUUGACGCUGAGGCACGAAAGCGUGGGGAGCAAACAGG
rnacentral:rRNA from 1 species